rnacentral:rRNA from 1 species
UUCUUGGUCAUUUAGAGGAAGUAAAGGUCGUAACAAGGUUUCCGUAGGUGAACCUGCGGAAGGAUCAUUAAAGAAAUUUAAUAAUUUUGAAAAUGGAUUUUUUUGUUUUGGCAAGAGCAUGAGAGCUUUUACUGGGCAAGAAGACAAGAGAUGGAGAGUCCAGCCGGGCCUGCGCUUAAGUGCGCGGUCGUGCUAGGCUUGUAAGUUUCUUUCUUGCUAUUCCAAACGGUGAGAGAUUUCUGUGCUUUUGUUAUAGGACAAUUAAAACCGUUUCAAUACAACACACUGUGGAGUUUUCAUAUCUUUGCAACUUUUUCUUUGGGCAUUCGAGCAAUCGGGGCCCAGAGGUAACAAACACAAACAAUUUUAUCUAUUCAUUAAAUUUUUGUCAAAAACAAGAAUUUUCGUAACUGGAAAUUUUAAAAUAUUAAAAACUUUCAACAACGGAUCUCUUGGUUCUCGCAUCGAUGAAGAACGCAGCGAAAUGCGAUACGUAAUGUGAAUUGCAGAAUUCCGUGAAUCAUCGAAUCUUUGAACGCACAUUGCGCCCCUUGGUAUUCCAGGGGGCAUGCCUGUUUGAGCGUCAUUUCCUUCUCAAACAUUCUGUUUGGUAGUGAGUGAUACUCUUUGGAGUUAACUUGAAAUUGCUGGCCUUUUCAUUGGAUGUUUUUUUUCCAAAGAGAGGUUUCUCUGCGUGCUUGAGGUAUAAUGCAAGUACGGUCGUUUUAGGUUUUACCAACUGCGGCUAAUCUUUUUUUAUACUGAGCGUAUUGGAACGUUAUCGAUAAGAAGAGAGCGUCUAGGCGAACAAUGUUCUUAAAGUUUGACCUCAAAUCAGGUAGGAGUACCCGCUGAACUUAAGCAUAUCAAUAAGCGGAGGAA